rnacentral:misc_RNA from 1 species
GUUGGGAGCAGUGUUUGCACAUUAUGAUGCACAGUAACAGCUUGUGGUGCAAAAAGAACUAGCUGCUGAGUGAAUCGAACAUUCUCAUAAAGUGUUGCAGUCUCUUGCCGAGAGCUGACCUCUGCAAUGACAGACUUACAGCGCGUGAAAAAAAUGCUGCCAGGGGAAAGUUCAGGACCAAGGACAGCAACAAUAGCAUUUAUAAGGCGGCCCACUGCCUGCUGCAGGUUAGUCGAACCAAUCUCAUUUGACAACAGAAUAUCCAUGGCAAGGCUAAGUGUCGCCUGAACAUGAGAAACAUAGGAUAACCCAGCCGCCUCCACAGUCAACAGUAGACCAUGCAAAGACCAAAUUUGUAAGCCAGUGUUUGAACUUUUAGCCAGAGAAGGAAAUGAAUUAACAGUAGCAGGAACCAAGCUUGACAAUGCAAUCCCCCCUGCG